CUGAGAUUCUUGCUGGUGAUGGGAGAAGAAGGAGCUCUCUUCCUACUAAGAUCCUGGCUAUAAAGGCAAUUUUGCCUGGAGGACUGACGGUUUUGGAGGAGAUGGAGACAGCUCUGGCCUUGACCCUCAGAAUGAAAACUCACCGAAUUAGGCCAGCCUUUCAGACGUCUGGACACACCGGAGUUUCUCGUCUGGCUUUAAGUGAAGCCACUGCCUUUAAUACCCUCUGACAUGUGGCCUAAUAGUUUUCUGAGUUACACUGACAGUUUUAAAGCAGGAACAAUAGGAUUGUGUCAGGGCGAAUUACCUGGUGACCCCAGAUGUCCUAAAAUGGUGGUUUAACUGGAUAACUUAUGAAAAAAAAAAGUGCAAAAAGUAGUGCAGACACCCCUGUGCCAUUGAGUUCAAAUCCCAACCCAAGGUGCAAAAGAACAAGUGGCCGACAUGUUUUUCAUCCCAUAAAUCUAUGCUUCGAACCAUCUGGACCAGCUUCAGCUACAACAACCAUCACACACCUCCUGAAGGAAGGCAGAGCCCCAUGGCAGAAAGAAAUGGAGAGACAGGCGACAAACAGAACAGACUUGGCCUCAGGGAAGAAGGCAGGUGAUGCCCUCUGGGUGGCUUGUGUGCCAAGGAUACAGCAGAGAGGGAAAACAGAAAGAAUGGUCUAGAAAGAAUUCAGUGGGCGCCCGCAUGCACCUCGCCACGGCUUCCUGCAGCUUUAGAAUUCCCAGGCGACAGAUCUCUUCCUUCAGGGACAUUGGCUUAGGGUGAAGUACACUGUGAGGACCCAGUAAAUGUUGAGUGAAUGCCUAGCCCCGUGUGAUGGCUGGGGAGGUAGAGAAAAAGAAUUGAGACUGACUUUGAACUCAAGGGAUUUGCCAUCAGGAAGAAGAGGCCAUAUCUAAAUGAAACGAUGGGAGAAUACCACCAGACAGUAUAGAGUUUGAUGUCAGCUUAAAGAUGAUUAAAUGCCAUAGUGAAAGGUGGAUGGGAGUAGAGAGGUCAAGCUGGCUGUAUUUAUCACGGAUAAUUUCUAGGGGACGGCAGUUUCCUUGAAGACUAGCUUGGCUUCACGCAGGCCCAGAGGAAAGGCAUUUGGGAAGGAGAAAUGCACUAUCUAGGCCUGAUGAGCAUCUUCCCUCCUCCGCAGUCUUUAAACCUGGAUCCAGAAAUACAUCGUUGUGGUUUUAAAUCUCAUUCCAUGCGUGUUGUCACCACGAUUUGACCUGGCUUAUCCUGACUGAUGCAGCCCUUCCAGUGAGAGAGGACACAGUCUUCUUGGAGUGGGG
rnacentral:lncRNA from 1 species